UCACUUUAGGAUGGACCCGCGGUGCAUUAGUUAGUUGGUGAGGUAAAGGACUCACCAAGACCGUGAUGCAUAGCCGACCUGAGAGGGUAAUCGGCCACACUGGGACUGAGGCACGGCCCAGACUCCUACGGAGGCAGCAGUAGGGAAUCUUCCACAAUGGACGAAAGUCUGAUGGAGGCAACGCCGCGUGAGUGAAGAAGGUUUUCGGAUCGUAAAACUCUGUUGUUGGAGAAGAAUGUAUCUGAUAGUAACUGAUCAGGUAGUGACGGUAUCCAACCAGAAAGCCACGGCUAACUACGUG
rnacentral:rRNA from 1 species